rnacentral:lncRNA from 1 species
UUUUUUUUUUGAGAGAUAGGUAGCACGCUACUCGCUUCGUUUAUUUCAUUUAGAGAUAAACUUAGCUAGAAAUGUGAAUCAACUAGGAUUCAAACUUAGGUCUUGGGUACCAACCACCAAGCCCUUUGCCUCUUGCUCUAGGGACAAUCGGUUAAAAAAAUUUAUAUUUACAUUAUUAGUGUGCAUUUUAAAGUUUAUAUUUCAUUUAAAAAAAUUUAUAUUUAUAUUAUUAGUGUG